GCAAAUUGGUCCUUCAUCAUUAUCUAGAAUACAGAAGAAAAACAAGACAAAAUUCGGUGAGCUGUUGCUCAUAAUCCCUAUAUGCAGUGAACUAGCAACAUCUGAUAUAGAAAUAAACAAAGCACAUUGACAAUAAUUUUGUUCAAAUAAAAUUUCUUUUAUAAUGACUGGAGGCAAGAAGUAGUUCAUCCUCUGAGAUUCUGAUAUCCUCCAUAACAGUGAAGAGUUGAUAAUAAAUAUAACAUGGAAGUUU
rnacentral:misc_RNA from 1 species